GAGCGAUAAUCUGAUCUGUAAUGUCGAAUGAAGUAACAGCAAAGCCCUCGGGUUCGGGCCCCUGGGUGCCUGCUCUUCUGCAGCUCAUUUGUGGACUAAGUGCUGUGUGAAGUGGAAGAGGAAACAUCCCAUUCAUCUUGACUGGUGCCAUGGUCCUCACCCAGCCCCAUUGUUCAAGUCUUGACCCAGAAUCUGUCCUUGACAUCUCCCCCCUGCCACGUGACAUCCGGGUCUGAAGAGCCUUGUGUUCUAAGACAGAAGAACUUGUCCUGUGCUGGCAAGCUCAAAUCCUUGGCAGGGUUUGGGGCUGCGGAAAGGCAUAGAUGCCCGUCCUGUGCUUUCCUGUGGUUUCCCCCGGCAUCCAUCCGAUGAGGCUUCAGCCCCCACCACCUCCUCAGCAUCCUCUCCUUCCUUUCCGGCGAACUCUGCAACUUGAAGCUCUCCUGCUUUGUACUUACAUCCUCUGGCA
rnacentral:lncRNA from 1 species